rnacentral:lncRNA from 1 species
AUGCCAUCCUUAUUUUUUCACACAUAGUGUUUGCAGCACUUUCACAAGCGUGCCUUCCUGUGAGAGGCUGAGUGAGAACAACAUGUAAAUGAAGUGACUGGUAAAGGCUUGAAUGACCACCCAGCCAGCAGAUUAAAUGGGAUGCUAAUUGAAGCAGGGGACAUUUCCAUUCCUGUUUUGCACAAACACUCAAGGCCGCUGAGGACUCUAUUGCUAAUGCCAGUUGGUAACAGCAAAUACUAUAGAAAGGCCUAAGGCUUUCUGAAUCUCACCUAUUGACUAACAUUGGUCUCAAGCAAAAAAUUGAAAUGAUGUGGGAACACUUCUUAUAAGUUCUUAAUGGAAGGAGUGGUAUAAUCCUCAUCCUCACUCUUGCCUGUGCCGCCUGUCGCUUUUCUUGCUAGUGCAAUACCUAGAUGGCGCUCUGUGGUCCACACUCUAAAGCCCAGCAGCCUCCUGGUACACAGCGUGUGCACAUACUUCAGUUGUUGAACACAGAUGCCAAAAAUUACUUUCUAGUCUUCUCACAGUGAACAAAUACAGCUUAUUGCAUUGAAAAGUGGAAUAUUUCAUCUUAGGGGCCCACUUUCACAGCUCCUCUGACAGUACUAACACAGGAUCUGUGGGUCUUGGUUCUGAUUCCUGAGACUGAGUUGUUAGAAACGUCAAAGUCUUCCUCCCUUGCAGCAGGAAGCACAGUGUUGAUAAGAAAGCGGAGCACUUCAGACAUAUCAUCUUGGGCUAAUUAAGAUGAAAUGAGCUACUCAAACAGCUCUUAUUACUGAAUAAGUGGUUCUUUUUAUGAGAUGCAUUUGUCUGACACUUCUUUAAACAAUGUGAGGUAUAUCAAAGCCAAUGAAGAGUGAGCCUAUGAUAUGUGUAGUUAAGAAAGUAAACAGCUUGGGAACAUGAAAGUUUGCUAAUCUAGUCUUCCCUAGAGCAGGGUGGGGGAAGCCACCCAUGUUGAUGAGGUCAAAUAAUGCAACUUGUUAGUAAUGUUUGGGUUUUGUUUUUAUUUCCCCAUUGAUUAUUCUUAUUUUCAUCUUUAAACAAUUCCAUUAUGGAACAAAACACCAAAGCUAUAAUUUUUUGGUUUUCAUUGUCCCAAGGAAUGUAAUCUUAUUCUAUUGUGUUGUUUUUGUUCCUUCAUUGCAAUAAUCUCAGUGUUUCUCAUAUAUUAGUUUGGAGGUGCAUUUCUUAAUUUCUUCCAAGUGUCUGCACAAUGUUGAGAGUGGAUCCAGUCAAUUAUGCAAAUGAGUGGGUUCCACCAUCAAAUCCAAUAAUACCUACUGAGCCCUGACUUCAUGCAAGAUAUUGGGCUAGACCCCGCGAUUUGAAAGAGACACUAGCAGGCUCUCCACAUUUCUUGAUAUCCAUAUCUUGUUCAUAAACAUUCAAGGUUGGUACUUUGUCAAUUCAUUUCAUCUUUAUUAAACAUCAAAAUGCCCAUCAGAAUGAGGCAUGAUGUUUUGUAAUAGCCCAUUAAUAGGUACACAUUCAAAAAUGUCCCUCUCAAAUGUCCCUCCUGGUAAAAUCCUCUGGGGAGAUUUUAUAACCAUGUACUGAAUAGGGAAUCAAGUGUAACUUUAUUCCAUAAUGGUGCUAUGGUUUUCCCCACUGUACCCUUAUCUUUUCCUUUCUGUUCUUCUGCCAUUUGGAAACAAUGCUAGAAAGCUAGUGCUUCAAAAGAUGUUCGAUAAAGCAAAACAUGAGAUGAGAAACUGUAACUGUUGUAGAAGGUAAAGACAAUUUCCCUGCCCCUCACUCUCUGUAUCAAUUUUACCUUUUACUACCUCUAACAUUCAGGAACCUAUGUGUAGCUAUUCCUUAAUCCUUACACACAUAUAGAACAAAAAAAGGACUUUGUGGCCUCAGUGUCAAUGCUAUGGCAGAUCCAAAGAGGCUGUAGUUAGAGGUUGCACUUUUCACAGCUGAGUGGUCACAGCUUUUCUGGAAGGGACAUCCAAUAUACAGUUAUGGCCACCAUAGUUAUUUAUUGGCUUAGAGCCAUGAUGUGAGUCUGGGUCUAACAUCAAAGGCUUUGCCUUCCCAAGUGGGAGGAGCAUCAUUAACAUCAGCAACUACUUUAAUUCACCUCUCUUAUAUGUGGCCUCAUUAUCACCUCUCUCUCCCCAGAAUUGUUAUUAUCAAUUAACCCCAUGUUGAUUUUAGAGUUUACUGUAAACACAAUUCUGUGAAUCUUUAAAUUUCAUAAAAUAUAUUUUACUUAAAACAUGGUCUUUUCUCAGCUCCUCAACCAGGUUGAUUCCUAUGUAUUCAUCUUUGCCUCAGUAAGCUUCAAAUGAGUAAUUUUCUACUGUCAGAUUCCAGGUGAUGCAAACAGCUUGGCUAAAAUCAUAGAGAAGGGCAUAAGCAGGAGCUGUGGGAAAAUAGGGAGCAAUGAGCCUGUUGCAGUGGGAGGGUUUGGGGGGAUAGGGGAAAGUAAGUGUGGAACCAAAGGAGUUGAUAAUUGAUAAAAGAAGUAAAAUGCUGUGGCUUGAAUCUUGAACAUACCCUCAUAUGCUCAAGUGUUGAAGGCAUAGUCUCCAAGACAUGGUGCUAUUAUUGGGAGAUAAUAGGACCUUGAAGAGGAACGGCCUAAGGUAAGAAAGUCCUGUCAUUUGGGGUUUUGCUAUUAAAGAAGACAUUGGAAGCCUCUUUGUUUCCCAGCUACCAGGCAGUGAACAGCUUCCUCCCCCACUCCCACCAUGAUGCAUUCACUGCCUUGCCACAGGCUUCCAAAGCAACCAAUAAUUGAAACCUCUGAAGCUGUGGGUAAAACGUCUUUCCUCUUUUAAGUUGUUUAUCUUAGGUAUUUUGUCACAGCGAUGGCAAACUAACUUACACAUGAGGGAAGCUGAGAGUGCAUAUAAAGUUCAACCAGCAAGGUUAUAGGGGGUUCUAAAAUUCUGCCACCAUGUCCAAGGAUGCCAGACAUAGACUUUGGAUUUGAUGUUUGCCCUGCUGUGUUUUCAUUUUGCUUUUGGUCUGAUCCUUGCUUUCCAUUCCCCUCUGCCUCCUUCUGGAAUAGUUACCCUUUGCCAUUGUAUCUUGGAAGUCUGUAACUUUAUAUUUACAGGGGCUCAGAGCUAAUGGCUUGCUUCGAGUCUCAGAGGAGACUUUGUACUUAAGCUUUUGAGCAAUGCUGGAAAGUUAAGAUUUGGCAGACUCUUGGGCAUUAACUAAAUACAUUUGAUUUGUAAAAGGGGCAGAAUCCUAUAGUUUGGAUCUUGAAUGUCCUUCAAAGGCUUGUAAGUAAAAGUCUUGGUUCAUGGCCUGUGUUGUUAUUGGGAGUUGGUAGAACAUUUAACAAGUGGAGCAUUGUGGAAGAAAGUCUAGUUACUGAGGCCAAACCCUUCCUCUCCGUUUUGCUUCUGGCAGCCAUGAGGUGAACAAUUUCUCUACCAUGUGCUCGUACUCUGAUGUACUGGCUCACGAUAGACCCAAAAGCAACAGGCCAACUGACCAUGGACUGAAAUCUCCAAAACUGUGAGCAAAAAUAAACCUUUCCUCUUUUUAAGUUGAGUAUCUUAGGAUUUGGUCACAGAAACCAACACAUGAAGCCAGUACCAAAAAUGUAAGCAACAGGGGUAGAUAUUAAGUUUAUUUCUCAAUCCUCAGUAGAUUGGGAUAUUUUCUUCCUUUGGAAAGUUCAACUGCUCUGAAAUAGAAACACUCCAGUUAAGGGGGAAUUGGAGAUAUGAAGGUGGUAGGGAGGAUGAAGAUUCCUGUCCACCUGCCUGCCUCUCCCCUGCUUUUUCAGAAUACCAAAGACUCCAUGUAGCACAGUAAGACACGGCCUCCCCAGCUGUCCUUUCUGUAACCCAACCAUGGACUGUACCUGAGGCAAUGAGACUAAGCACACUAAGGUCCCCACAUCGUAUGCAGUUUUCCUAUCUCUGUUGAUACCCAUGCCAGAAUCCAGAAAAUUUACCUUUCCUAUAGUUUCAUUUUUCAAACCUAUGGGUUAAUUACAAAGUUCA